GGUCACGAGUUCCAGCGCACAGCCCCGGCUUGCUGGACGGCAACCCUCCACCGCGGUGGGGUGCUCCGGGUGACGACCUGGCUGCGUGCGACCGCACGCAGCAAGUGCGGGUU
rnacentral:ncRNA from 2 species